rnacentral:rRNA from 1 species
GAGACAGCAGUAGCCGCGGGAAUACGUAGGGUGCAAGCGUUAAUCGGAAUUACUGGGCGUAAAGCGUGCGCAGGUGGUUAUAUAAGACAGAUGUGAAAUCCCCGGGCUCAACCUGGGAACUGCAUUUGUGACUGUAUAGCUAGAGUACGGCAGAGGGGGAUGGAAUUCCGCGUGUAGCAGUGAAAUGCGUAGAUAUGCGGAGGAACACCGAUGGCGAAGGCAAUCCCCUGGGCCUGUACUGACGCUCAUGCACGAAAGCGUGGGGAGCAAACAGGAUUAGAUACCCCGGUAGUCCCUGUCUCUUAUAC